UCUGCUGCGCUUCCUCUUCUUUCUUGUUACGGGGCUCUUUCUUCUCCUUUUCACCUGGUCAAACUUCCCUUAUCUUCCCUCCAACAAGGCUGAGCUUCUCGACUGCACCAGUUUCUCACCAUGGUGCACCUCCAAAUCCAAACCCCACCUCACAACAAACCCAACCAACCCCACACGAGGCCCCCGCCGCCACCACUCUUCCGAUGUCCCCCACCAUCCUCUCGACCCCCUCACGGUCCAAGAAAUCAACCGCGUCCGUACAAUCCUCUCUUCCCACGCGCCGCUCAAAGCAUCGAAGAGGUAUACGAUUCACGCCGUUGACCUGGAGGAGCCGGCGAAGCCACUCGUCCUCCGGUGGAAGAAAGGCAACCCCAUGCUGCCACGGAGGGCUUCCGUAAUAGCACUUGUGGGGGGGGAGUCGCACUUGUUGACAGUGGACUUGGCCACGAGUCAGGUCACUCGAGACGACGUCCUUCCUCCCUCCGGCUAUCCGACGAUGACCGUUGAGGACAUGACGACGGCCACGAAGGCUCCGCUUGUGGAUGGGAAUUUCAACCGUACGAUCAUCGAGCGCGGGAUUGAUCUGGCGGAUCUCGCUUGUUUGCCACUUUCGACGGGGUGGUUUGGGAAAAGUGAGGAGAAGAGGCGGCUGAUUAAGGUUCAGUGCUACUCCUUGAAGGACACUGUCAACUUCUACAUGAGGCCAAUCGAAGGUCUGACGGUGCUUGUGGAUUUGGACAGCAAGCAAGUGGUCGAGAUUUCAGAUCGAGGACAGAACAUCCCCAUACCCAACGCCGCCAACACAGACUAUCGCUACUCCGCCCAGAGCAAACCCACGAACCUACUCAACCCGAUAUCCAUAGAGCAGCCCAAGGGCCCGAGUUUCACAGUAGAAAACGACCACUUGAUCAAAUGGGCAAAUUGGGAAUUCCACCUCAAAGCCGAAUCAAGAGCCGGAGUGAUAAUUUCCCGGGUCAUGUUUCGGGACCCGGACACCGGAUUGCUGAGGAAUGUGAUGUACAAAGGCUUAAC
rnacentral:lncRNA from 1 species